GAUGAACGCUGGCGGCGUGCCUAAUACAUGCAAGUCGAGCGAACGGACGAGAAGCUUGCUUCUCUGAUGUUAGCGGCGGACGGGUGAGUAACACGUGGAUAACCUACCUAUAAGACUGGGAUAACUUCGGGAAACCGGAGCUAAUACCGGAUAAUAUUUUGAACCGCAUGGUUCAAAAGUGAAAGACGGUCUUGCUGUCACUUAUAGAUGGAUCCGCGCUGCAUUAGCUAGUUGGUAAGGUAACGGCUUACCAAGGCAACGAUGCAUAGCCGACCUGAGAGGGUGAUCGGCCACACUGGAACUGAGACACGGUCCAGACUCCUACGGGAGGCAGCAGUAGGGAAUCUUCCGCAAUGGGCGAAAGCCUGACGGAGCAACGCCGCGGGAGUGAUGAAGGUAUUCGGAUCGUAAAACUCUGUUAUUAGGGAAGAACAUAUGUGUAAGUAACUGUGCACAUCUUGACGGUACCUAAUCAGAAAGCCACGGCUAACUACGU
rnacentral:rRNA from 1 species